UCAUUGUUGCAAGCUUGUUGGCUGUUGGCUUGUUCACAAACCACCUAAUAAGUAGUUUGUGGGCUUGUUCAGUGAGUAAUAAUUAUUUCUUAGAGGUUUCGUACUGGUAAAAUAAUACAAAUAGGAAUGGAUAAAUAUCCUAGGCUGGUAAAAUGUGAUCAUAGUGUUAAUAUCGAAAUUAAUUCAAGUCCGUUCACUUUAGGUAGAUCAUGGAAUUGUAAUUAUGUGAUACUGGCUGAAAGCAUUUCUAGAAUCCAUUGCAGCCUUGAAAGAGUUGGCAUCCAUUGGAUUUUGAAAGACACUAGCACAAAUGGAACGUAUAUAAAUGGUAUGGUAAUACAAUCCAGGGGAAGUCGUCGAUUAAUGAAUGGUGACAUUAUCAACUUUGACAGACAAAAUGAACAGUAUAUAUUUCAUUUCGUUCCGAGAUAUAAUGUUUGGUAUGAACAACAAAGUAGAGUAGCUUAUCCUCUUCCAAGUGAAAUAGAUAUUUAUCCAAAUUCUUAUUCAACUGUUACUCCAUAUACAAGUGUCCCUACAUAUAGAACAAAAUCUACAUUCAGAACAAAUCGUACAUAUAGAAUACAUCGUUCAUAUAGAACAGAGCUUGCAUAUACAGCUGUCCCCACAUAUCGAACUGAUAAUGUCCCUGGAUAUACAACGUAUCCUGAAUAUACAAAUAACGCAGUACAUACAAUGAAUCCUGAUUACACAACUCUUUGUUCGUAUUCAACUGUUCGUGAUUAUGCAUCUGAACCCGAGUAUUCCACUGGUAAUGAAAAUAUAAUUGUUCAUGAACGUUCAGUUGUUCCUACUUACAGAACUGUUCGUGAAUAUACAACGGUUCCUGCUUCUCCAACUGAUACUGCAUCUAUAGAAGACAGUCCUUCUUCAGUUCAAUUUCCGGUUAUAGUGCCUACAGAAGUAGCAAGUCCAUCAGAUACUCCUCUAGAUUGUACAAUGAAAAGGGAAAUGCCCAAAGCAACAAGUAGUUCAGAAACUGAGAAUGGGGAAGAACUCCGAAACGAAAUGCAGUGUUCCAUAUGUUCUGAAAUGUUCAUCAAGGCGACUACAUUGAACUGUUCGCACACGUUUUGCAAAUUUUGCAUUGAAACUUGGAGGAGAAAUAAAUCUGCUUGUCCAAUUUGCAGGGCAGAAAUAACAUCGAUGAAUUCAACGUUGGUUCUGGAUAAUGUCAUAGAAAUGGUUGUACAAAAUGGGUCAGAAGAAGUCAAACAACACAGAAAGGAGAUAUUGGAAGACAGACAGAAAUGUGUGGAACAAUCAAAACAUAAAAGGGGGGACUCAAGUACAGAAGAAUCAAGGAUAGAAAUGGUAUCAGAAGACUCAGACAGCGGUGAUGAAUCAGAUGGAAUGAAUUGGUUGGGGCAAAUGGCCGGUACUAACCUAGAGCGGUUGUACAUUCCAACUAUAUACUGUUUCUACUGUGAUAUAAGAGGACACUCGUCCAGCAAUUGUCCUUCUAGAGAUCUAGAUGAUGUUCAUUAUCGUGUUUUGUGUUAACAAAAUUAGAAUCCUUUUCCAGUAUUAUAAUGCAUCAGAGUAAUCACUGGUGUGGAUCUCUUUAUGUUUGAAUCUCAGUGUCUAGGAUGUCGACAAAAAAACGCACAAAAUUACAUCCAUGAAAUCAAACUGAUUUCAAAAAUACAAUGUAUUUGAUAUCGAUAUUUUGCUCAACAAAAACCAAGACUUUUAUGGGACGAUUUCAAUGACGAAUAUCAAAGGAACUCCAAGAUGAAAUGCAGUAUGCCAUAUGUUCUGAAUUAUUUAUUGAAGCGACUACAUUGAACUGUGCGCACACGUUUUGCAAAUUUUGCAUUGAAACUUGGAGGAAAAAUAAAUCUGCCUGUCCAAUUUGUAGGGCAAAGAUAACAUCAAUGAAUCCAACCUUGGUGCUAGAUAAUGUCAUAAAAAUGGUCACGGCGAAGGGCCCAUACUAACCCAGAGCGGUCUUACAUUCGAGAAGUAGAUACUGUUACUGCUGUGGAUCAAGAGGACACUGGUCUAGAGAUUGUCCAUCUAGAUAACUAAUACAAUGGCGACGAAUACAACAGCUAAUUCGUAUUUUUGUUCAGUUAUAACAAAAUAAUAAUCUGAUUCCAGCAUCAUAAUGCAUCAGAGUAAUAUCCGGUGUGGAACUUCAUGUCUGGAUCUGAAGUAGUUGAACAUAACUAAAUUUAGGAAUAUGCAUUUCUAUAUUUUCCAGUCUGAUAAUAAAAAAUUCGACUGCUAUUUCGUAUUCUACAAUUAGUUUUAUAUGUUUUUCAAAUACAUAUUUUCCUAAAAC